GCAAAAUCGGCCAAAGUGUGUUUUGUUGAUGGAACAUUUAGCAUGACACCACGCAUGGAGGAAAGUAAGUGGUAUCAGCUCUUGAUAUUUUCUGUUGAGUAUUCAGCAGUACUUGAAGAUUCAAUUCCAGAUGAGGAUCAUAUGAAUUUUGAUCCUGAUAACCCUCACCUUUGGGGAAUAUCUGUUCCAGCUGUAUGCGCUUUAAUGACAUCGAAAUCCGAGACUCUAUAAAAGCUUGUUUUUUCCAAAAUAAAAGAAGUUUUAGAUUUCUCUCCAGUCACCAUUAUGUCCGAUUUUGAACGAGGACUACAGAAUGCUUUAAAAACAACUUGGAGUGAAAGCUUGGUGAAUGGUUGCAGGUUUCAUUUCGAAAAUGCAAUCACCAAGCAAUUAGCAAUUCUUGGUCUUCAGAAGGAAUACCGCCACCAAAUUCAAGUAAAGAAG